UACGUAGGGCGCAAGCGUUGUCCGGAAUUAUUGGGCGUAAAGAGCUCGUAGGCGGCUUGUCACGUCGGGUGUGAAAGCCCGGGGCUUAACCCCGGGUCUGCAUUCGAUACGGGCUAGCUAGAGUGUGGUAGGGGAGAUCGGAAUUCCUGGUGUAGCGGUGAAAUGCGUAGAUAUCAGGAGGAACACCGGUGGCGAAGGCGGAUCUCUGGGCCAUUACUGACGCUGAGGAGCGAAAGCGUGGGGAGCGAACAGG
rnacentral:rRNA from 1 species